UACGUAGGGGGCAAGCGUUGUCCGGAUUUAUUGGGCGUAAAGAGCGUGUAGGCGGCUAGGUAGGUCCGUUGUGAAAACUCGAGGCUCAACCUCGAGACGUCGAUGGAAACCAUCUUGCUAGAGUCCGGAAGAGGAGAGUGGAAUUCCUGGUGUAGCGGUGAAAUGCGCAGAUAUCAGGAAGAACACCGGUGGCGAAGGCGGGUCUCUGGGCCGAUACUGACGCUGAGGAGCGAAAGCGUGGGGAGCGAACAGG
rnacentral:rRNA from 1 species